UACGUAGGGUGCAAGCGUUGUCCGGAAUUACUGGGCGUAAAGCGUGCGCAGGCGGUUUUGUAAGCCAGAUGUGAAAGCCCCGGGCUUAACCUGGGAAUGGCAUUUGGGACUGCAAGGCUGGAGUGUGGCAGAGGAGACUGGAAUUCCUGGUGUAGCAGUGAAAUGCGUAGAUAUCAGGAGGAAUACCGAUGGCGAAGGCAGGUCUCUGGGCUGACACUGACGCUCAUGCACGAAAGCGUGGGGAGCAAACAGG
rnacentral:rRNA from 1 species